UACAGAGGGGGCAAGCGUUGUUCGGAAUUACUGGGCGUAAAGGGCGCGUAGGCGGCCCGCUAAGUCGAACGUGAAAUCCCCGGGCUCAACCCGGGAACUGCGUCCGAUACUGGUGGGCUUGAAUCCGGGAGAGGGAUGCGGAAUUCCAGGUGUGGCGGUGAAAUGCGUAGAGAUGUGGAGGAAUACCGAUGGCGAAGGCAGCCUCCUGGGAUAACCACUGACGCUCAUGCACGAAAGCGUGGGGAGCAAACAGG
rnacentral:rRNA from 1 species